rnacentral:lncRNA from 1 species
GUGUGUGUGUGUGUGUGUGUGUGUGUGUGUGUAUAAGCUCCAAAGUUGACAAAAAAACUCAAAAAAAUUUAAUAUGACAGCAAAAUUUUUAUAGGUUUGCAGAUAGAUAGGCAUAUGGAUGUGAUAUAUCAGAUUAGACAUACACUUAAUAUACAUUUAUAUCAGGUCAGAAAAACUCCACAUUUGAUAUAUAUUUCCAUAGUAACAAUCAUGAGAUAUAAUUAUUAUUCUACUUUUAUGGAUUUUUAAAGUCUUCUAUAGCACCCACAUAAAAAGAGUGAACACUGAAUAAAAGUUCUGUAUGCAUCACUGAAAGUCUCCUUGGAAACAACUCCCAAGGUCACCUUCAAUAUUUUCAGAUGACCAUGGCGAACAGAUUUAUUUAUUCUUGUCGCUUUGGCCAGGCUUAUCUGUAACCAUCUGAUUUGGGGGAAAAAUAUAAAUCUAAUUCCCUUACCAAAUUAACAAAUGGCUAUCUUAUUUCCACAAAGGAGGCUAUGAGGUUAUCUGAACACUGCCGAUUAAAAGGUCAUAGGCAGUAGUAGAUAUUUCAUAGAUGGAAAUGAUUACAAACCUGAAAUAACCUUGAACACAGGAGAAAUUCUCUUUUAUAAGUGAAUAUUUUCUUCUAAGAUCUCCUCACUGGUUUCAUCAUUUCUCAACAGCUAAUUCUUUAGGUGUGUCUAGUAGGUACACACACACAUGCAUAUAUAUACACACACACACACAUACACACACACACACACACACACACACACACACACAGAGUACUUAGCUCUUUAUAAGAGUUAACUAUAAAGUGGCAGAAAAAUGAGCCUGUUUUAAGGAAUAAUGGUGGACUCAUUGCAAAUACACAAUUUUUUUGAGUUUGCAUGCAACCAUUGCUCGGCUUCUUCACCAUAUUUUUUUUCAAGUGCUGUGUUUCUAUAUCUCAGGUGCUCACUGAAAAUAAAAUGCAAUGAAGUAUCUUCAGACUCUAAGGUGAUAAAUUGCUAGGAUGAAGUCAUCUAAACCAUCCAGAGAUGCUCCAUUCACAUGAGCCAUCAUAGUGAUCUUCAUCACAAAAUAUGUGCUAUCAAAGGGAAGUUUACUCUUUUCUUAUAGUAAUGAAAAUAAUUAAAAAGACCAUAUACAAAAAUGCCUUCCUUUAACACCAUCUUUAUUUCUAUAUGUCACUAAAAACAAAGUACAAUGUAAUUAGCAUUCAUCAACACCAACUAAAGAAAUAAAGAUUAAAAAAAACAGGUCAAGCCUCCAUCAAACAGCUCAACUGUCUGAAAGCGCCCAGUGUUUACAAUGUGAACAGCCUCCUUUGGUUACCAUGAGAACAAGAGGACAAAUAACCAAAUGAGUUUCCUAGAUGGAAAAAAAGUAUAUGGCCAUCUGUUUUAAAACUCCAGCCAACAAAUUCCAAGCAGAUGUAAGGCCCAAUCCCAAAGAAGCCAAGACUCAAAUGUACAAAAUAAAAAAAAAAAGUUGUUAUUAAUUAAUCUGUUCAAGUUUGGGGACGGUGUGAUAAGAAAUUAGGGGGAAUAUGUUGGGUUUUUUUUUUUAUUACUGAUAAUUACAGGAAUUCUCAUGACUGAAGCCACCAUGAGGCUUCAUCUUUUUUACAACAGUGAAGAUCCCCACUAAGCCAACAUUUUGUUUGUUAUUUUAACUUUCCUGUGUGAGUAUGUCACUGUAUGAGUGUAUGUGGAUGUGUGUAAGUGGGUACAUUUGCUUAUGUGUGUCUGUGUAGAGGUCAAGUGUCUUCCUUAGUUGUUCUUCUCCUAACCCCCUGGCACUGACAUACAGACAUGCUCAGCCACACCCAGCCUCUGUGUGGACACUGGGGAUCUGAACUCAGGCCAAAGAUUGCAAUCACUGAACCAUCUCCUCGGCCCCUUGGAGUUCUGUAAAUAUAGGAGAGUGACUCAAAAUGCUUGCCGAAAUUAGUUCUGUUGCCCAAUCUGAACACCAACACUUCUCUCAGACCUUCUUCUCUGGGGCAUCCCAAUUCAAUAGGAACAUAUAACCAGACAGUAUGUGUGUCAAAAAGAUACUUGAGACCAAACAAAAGCAUUAGCUCUGUUUAUCAAGAACCUGACAUAAGUCAGGAAUGAUUUUUGAAAAUAUAUACAUGUGUAAUGUCUUCAAGGGAACAAAGACAAUAUCGAUACCUUGAGAAAUAU